GCCCGAGUGGUGAAAUUGGCAGACACGCCAUCUUGAGGGGGUGGUGUCCUCACGGACGUGCCGGUUCAAGUCCGGCCUCGGGCA
rnacentral:tRNA from 1 species